GUCAGGGGCAGCUCCGGGGUGCAGGUGCCAGGCAGGUGGCUCCGGCCAGCCCAGCCCCAGCAUGAGCUCCUUCGACCUGCCGGCGCCCUCCCCACCUCGCUGCAGCCCCCAGUUCCCCAGCAUCGGCCAGGAGCCCCCCGAGAUGAACCUCUACUAUGAGAACUUCUUCCACCCACAGGGCGUGCCCAGCCCUCAGCGGCCCUCCUUCGAGGGGGGCGGCGAGUAUGGGGCCACCCCCAACCCCUACCUCUGGUUCAACGGGCCCACCAUGACCCCGCCACCCUACCUGCCCGGCCCCAACGCCAGCCCCUUCCUGCCCCAGGCCUAUGGAGUGCAGAGGCCGCUGCUGCCCAGCGUGUCGGGGCUUGGGGGGAGCGACCUGGGCUGGCUGCCCAUCCCCUCGCAGGAGGAGCUGAUGAAGCUGGUGCGGCCACCCUAUUCCUACUCGGCUCUCAUCGCCAUGGCCAUCCACGGGGCACCCGACAAGCGCCUCACUCUCAGCCAGAUCUACCAGUACGUGGCCGACAACUUCCCCUUCUACAACAAGAGCAAGGCCGGCUGGCAGAACUCCAUCCGCCACAACCUGUCGCUCAACGACUGCUUCAAGAAGGUGCCCCGCGACGAGGACGACCCGGCACCCAGCACAUAGAAAGUCUUUGGUGAAUGAAUGACUGGACCAACCAAAGCCCAAGGGCAUCCCAAGACUGCCAGGAAGAGGAUCUGACCUGGGUUAAACAGCCACUAAUGGCCCAUUUUGCUGCCUGCCUUGUUUCUACUUAGGCAAAGGGAAUUACUGGACCCUGGACCCCAACUGUGAGAAAAUGUUCGACAAUGGAAAUUUCCGCAGGAAAAGGAAGAGAAAAUCAGAUGUUUCCUCUAGCACAGCCUCCUUGGCCUUAGAGAAGACAGAGAGCAGUCUCCCGGUGGACAGCCCCAAGACCACGGAGCCUCAGGACAUCUUGGAUGGAGCCUCACCAGGGGGCACCACCAGCUCCCCAGAGAAGCGGCCCUCCCCUCCCCCAUCAGGCGCCCCUUGCCUUAACAGCUUCCUUUCCUCUAUGACAGCCUAUGUGAGCGGGGGGAGCCCCACGAGCCACCCCUUGGUCACACCAGGACUGAGCCCUGAGCCCAGUGACAAGACGGGGCAGAACUCACUGACCUUCAACUCCUUCUCCCCGCUCACCAACCUCAGCAACCACAGCGGUGGGGGUGACUGGGCGAACCCCAUGCCCACCAACAUGCUCAGCUAUGGAGGAUCUGUGCUCAGCCAAUUCAGCCCUCACUUCUACAACAGUGUCAACACCAGUGGUGUCCUCUACCCCAGGGAGGGCACCGAGGUCUAGGUACAGAACAGCUCCUGAGCCAGGUGGACAUGCCAGAGAGAAAAGCAGUAGAGGUCCUCCAUGCCAGCCCCACGGUGGUCCAUGACUGCGGAACUGCCCAGACAUAAGCAGGAGCCUCCGAGGAAUCCACCCUCUUUCUAGAACACUGGUUAAGGCUUCUGUUUAUCACACAUAGGCCCACACACAGACUCACCAACUUUGCAAUAGAAAUACUGGUGCCUGCAGAGCAGCACUAACAGUGGCAGGUGCUGUACUAGGCUCUGUACUGGCCACACUUACUAUUGACAGUCACCCCGUAAGGUUCACAAACCACCCCAUUGAACAGAUGAGGAACUGAGGCUCAAGGAGGUUAAGUAACAUUUCCAGGGUUAUAUAAACUAGUAAAUGGCAGAGCUAAGAGUCAAAUCCAGGUCUAUGUGAUCCUCAGAGAUUGGAGGCCGGGAUGGAGAAUUGGUUGAGUAGCCAAGGAAGGUCAGUGUGAAAAGCUUGCUAUGGCAAAUAUAGCGAAAUCUCUCCACUGCCUUCUGUCCACCAACAUUUAGUGCCAGCCUAGGCACAACUUGUCCUGGUCCAAGUCCUUAUUCUGCUUGCCCCAACUUACCUGCAGACACUCCUUUUGCUACCACUCAAGGAAGGAAGUCACCAGUGGCCUUAGUGCAGGAAACUCAGCCCUGGUGGCCCUGCAGAACAAUGCAUCUGACAUGUGCGAUGCAUCCCCAUGGAGAGACAGCAUUGCUCCCCAGCCCUCCAGAAACCUUGAGCAGAUCCAGGGAUCAGUGAGAGGAGUGGUGUGUACCCCUAAAUCCUCCCACCCCAGCACUGCCCAUCUGUAAAAUCUUGUAAAGCCCAGUUUCCUGUGUGCAUGUCAUGGACCAGUGAGCUGGAGAUGGCUGAAUCUUCCAAGAGAAACAAGGUUGGAUAAGCGCUUCCUUUUUUUUAGCCCAGGAGAGGUGGAUGUUUGUCUGAGAAAACAAUGGCCUCAAGGGAGGGGCCUUGGGCCCACCCUCACAGGGGGUCUCUGUGUGAUCUCUUGGGAUUUCUCCUUGUUUUUGUGAGUACCUGGGAAGUGUUGUUUGUUUUCUUAUUUUCUUUUUAAUUAAAAAACAAACAAACAUGUGGUGCA